CCCCUCUUAGGAUCACACCUGGAGAGUUUCCAGUACUCUACCAGUCUCUGCUACGGGAGGGAGAGUCAAGCAGAGGCAUACCCCUUCCAUUUCUAGCUUGGGCAGUGGCUAGUGAGUGGAAGACAACAUGCUUCAAGU
rnacentral:snoRNA from 1 species